rnacentral:rRNA from 1 species
AGAGUUUGAUCAUGGCUCAGAUUGAACGCUGGCGGCAGGCCUAACACAUGCAAGUCGAACGGUAACAGGAAGCAGCUUGCUGCUUCGCUGACGAGUGGCGGACGGGUGAGUAAUGUCUGGGAAACUGCCUGAUGGAGGGGGAUAACUACUGGAAACGGUAGCUAAUACCGCAUAACGUCGCAAGACCAAAGAGGGGGACCUUCGGGCCUCUUGCCAUCGGAUGUGCCCAGAUGGGAUUAGCUUGUUGGUGGGGUAACGGCUCACCAAGGCGACGAUCCCUAGCUGGUCUGAGAGGAUGACCAGCCACACUGGAACUGAGACACGGUCCAGACUCCUACGGGAGGCAGCAGUGGGGAAUAUUGCACAAUGGGCGCAAGCCUGAUGCAGCCAUGCCGCGUGUAUGAAGAAGGCCUUCGGGUUGUAAAGUACUUUCAGCGGGGAGGAAGGGAGUAAAGUUAAUACCUUUGCUCAUUGACGUUACCCGCAGAAGAAGCACCGGCUAACUCCGUGCCAGCAGCCGCGGUAAUACGGAGGGUACAAGCGUUAAUCGGAAUUACUGGGCGUAAAGCGCACGCAGGCGGUUUGUUAAGUCAGAUGUGAAAUCCCCGGGCUACAACCUGGGAACUGCAUCUGAUACUGGCAAGCUUGAGUCUCGUAGAGGGGGGUAGAAUUCCAGGUGUAGCGGUGAAAUGCGUAGAGAUCUGGAGGAAUACCGGUGGCGAAGGCGGCCCCCUGGACGAAGACUGACGCUCAGGUGCGAAAGCGUGGGGAGCAAACAGGAUUAGAUACCCUGGUAGUCCACGCCGUAAACGAUGUCGACUUGGAGGUUGUGCCCUUGAGGCGUGGCUUCCGGAGCUAACGCGUUAAGUCGACCGCCUGGGGAGUACGGCCGCAAGGUUAAAACUCAAAUGAAUUGACGGGGGCCCGCACAAGCGGUGGAGCAUGUGGUUUAAUUCGAUGCAACGCGAAGAACCUUACCUGGUCUUGACAUCCACGGAAGUUUUCAGAGAUGAGAAUGUGCCUUCGGGAACCGUGAGACAGGUGCUGCAUGGCUGUCGUCAGCUCGUGUUGUGAAAUGUUGGGUUAAGUCCCGCAACGAGCGCAACCCUUAUCCUUUGUUGCCAGCGGUCCGGCCGGGAACUCAAAGGAGACUGCCAGUGAUAAACUGGAGGAAGGUGGGGAUGACGUCAAGUCAUCAUGGCCCUUACGACCAGGGCUACACACGUGCUACAAUGGCGCAUACAAAGAGAAGCGACCUCGCGAGAGCAAGCGGACCUCAUAAAGUGCGUCGUAGUCCGGAUUGGAGUCUGCAACUCGACUCCAUGAAGUCGGAAUCGCUAGUAAUCGUGGAUCAGAAUGCCACGGUGAAUACGUUCCCGGGCCUUGUACACACCGCCCGUCACACCAUGGGAGUGGGUUGCAAAAGAAGUAGGUAGCUUAACCUUCGGGAGGGCGCUUACCACUUUGUGAUUCAUGACUGGGGUGAAGUCGUAACAAGGUAACCGUAGGGGAACCUGCGGUUGGAUCACCU